rnacentral:rRNA from 1 species
AUACGUAGGGUGCGAGCGUUGUCCGGAAUUACUGGGCGUAAAGGGCUCGUAGGUGGUUUGUCGCGUCGUCUGUGAAAUUCCGGGGCUUAACUCCGGGCGUGCAGGCGAUACGGGCAUAACUUGAGUACUGUAGGGGAGACUGGAAUUCCUGGUGUAGCGGUGAAGUGCGCAGAUAUCAGGAGGAACACCGGUGGCGAAGGGGGGUCUCUGGGCAGUAACUGACGCUGAGGAGCGAAAGCAUGGGUAGCGAACAGGAUUAGAUACCCUGGUAGUCCAUGCCGUAAACGGUGGGCGCUAGGUGUAGGGGUCUUCCACGACUUCUGUGCCGUAGCUAACGCAUUAAGCGCCCCGCCUGGGGAGUACGGCCGCAAGGCUAAAACUCAAAGGAAUUGACGGGG